rnacentral:rRNA from 1 species
AUUGAACGCUGGCGGCAUGCUUUACACAUGCAAGUCGAACGGCAGCAUGGGCUUCGGCCUGAUGGCGAGUGGCGAACGGGUGAGUAAUAUAUCGGAACGUACCCAAGAGUGGGGGAUAACGUAGCGAAAGUUACGCUAAUACCGCAUACGAUCUACAGAUGAAAGCAGGGGACCGCAAGGCCUUGUGCUCCUGGAGCGGCCGAUAUCUGAUUAGCUAGUUGGUAGGGUAAAGGCCUACCAAGGCAUCGAUCAGUAGCUGGUCUGAGAGGACGACCAGCCACACUGGAACUGAGACACGGUCCAGACUCCUACGGGAGGCAGCAGCGGGGAAUUUUGGACAAUGGGGGCAACCCUGAUCCAGCAAUGCCGCGUGAGUGAAGAAGGCCUUCGGGUUGUAAAGCUCUUUUGUCAGGGAAGAAACGGUUGUGGCUAAUAUCCAUGACUAAUGACGGUACCUGAAGAAUAAGCACCGGCUAACUACGUGCCAGCCGCCGCGGUAAUAC